AUCUGGGGGUGAGGACAACCGGCACAUAGUUUCUUGAAUCUCUCCCAGUAUUCAUAUAAGAUUUCUCCACUGAGUUGUCUAAUGCCUAAAAUAUCCUUUCUAAUGGU
rfam:Glycine max cultivar Williams 82 chromosome 20, whole genome shotgun sequence.